rnacentral:rRNA from 1 species
AGUGAACGCUGGCGGUAGGCCUAACACAUGCAAGUCGAACGGCAGCACAGUAAGAGCUUGCUCUUACGGGUGGCGAGUGGCGGACGGGUGAGGAAUACAUCGGAAUCUACUUUUUCGUGGGGGAUAACGUAGGGAAACUUACGCUAAUACCGCAUACGACCUACGGGUGAAAGCAGGGGAUCUUCGGACCUUGCGCGAUUGAAUGAGCCGAUGUCGGAUUAGCUAGUUGGCGGGGUAAAGGCCCACCAAGGCGACGAUCCGUAGCUGGUCUGAGAGGAUGAUCAGCCACACUGGAACUGAGACACGGUCCAGACUCCUACGGGAGGCAGCAGUGGGGAAUAUUGGACUAUGGGCGCAAGCCUGAUCCAGCCAUACCGCGUGGGUGAAGAAGGCCUUCGGGUUGUAAAGCCCUUUUGUUGGGAAAGAAAAGCAGCAGGUUGAUACCCCGCUGUUCUGACGGUACCCAAAGAAUAAGCACCGGCUAACUUCGUG